UGCUCUACAACUGAGCUACGAGGUCAAGGAAAUAUCACGCAUUUCUUAAAAAAUGCCAUUUUCUUCGACAAUAUUUUUAGGCAUUACUAUAAUAUAAAAGCUUUUCACAAACAAUACAGCGUGCAAACUGAACAGAGAUCACCGGAAAAAUAUUGAGAUAUAUAGCGCAUUGUUUUUCAUGACGUCAGCAUGACAAUACGCUGAGGCUUUACACCAGAACCAGACGCACAGCAACCCAAG